AAGCAGCCAGCUUGCUGGAAGCGGAAAAGGGAAAGGCUUAGUGGCGGACGGGUGAGUAACGCGUGGGUAACCUGGCCCAUACAGGGGGAUAACACUUAGAAAUAGGUGCUAAUACCGCAUAACAACAGAAAGCGCAUGCUUUUUGUUUGAAAACCAAGGUGGUAUGGGAUGGACCCGCGUCUGAUUAGCUGGUUGGCGGGGUAAAGGCCCACCAAGGCGACGAUCAGUAGCCGGGCUGAGAGGGUGGACGGCCACAUUGGGACUGAGACACGGCCCAAACUCCUACGGGAGGCAGCAGUGGGGAAUAUUGCACAAAGGGGGAAACCCUGAUGCAGCGACGCCGCGUGAGUGAAGAAGUAAUUCGUUAUGUAAAGCUCUAUCAGCAGGGAAGAAAAUGACGGUACCUGAGUAAGAAGCCCCGGCUAACUACGUGCCAGCAGCCGCGGUAAUACGUAGGGGGCAAGCGUUAUCCGGAUUUACUGGGUGUAAAGGGAGCGUAGACGGCAGUGCAAGUCUGGAGUGAAAGGCGGGGGCUCAACCCCCGGACUGCUCUGGAAACUGUACGGCUGGAGUGCAGGAGAGGUAAGUGGAAUUCCUAGUGUAGCGGUGAAAUGCGUAGAUAUUAGGAGGAACACCAGUGGCGAAGGCGGCUUACUGGACUGUAACUGACGUUGAGGCUCGAAAGCGUGGGGAGCAAACAGGAUUAGAUACCCUGGUAGUCCACGCCGUAAACGAUGAUCACUAGGUGUCGGGGGUUAAAGAACCUUCGGUGCCGCAGCCAACGCAGUAAGUGAUCCACC
rnacentral:rRNA from 1 species